AUUAUAAGGCUGGCAUUUCUAAACAAGAGAAAAAUGUUUAAAACAUUUUUACAUAAAGAUUUUAAGAAGAACCGAAUACUAAAUACCUUGAGUGAUUCACGAACUGUAGAUCUAUCCAACGAAAUUGUGGAAGAGCUGUCCGAUUCUCCUAGACUGCUUACUGAGCAACCAUUAGUAAAUGUUGCCUGACUGCUAGAACAUGGAACCCCUAGUGUAAAAAAUUAAAUAAUACAGCAGCUUUUAUAUGUGGAAA